AUUGAACGCUGGCGGCAGGCCUAACACAUGCAAGUCGAGCGAGCGGCGGACGGGUGAGUAAUGUAUGGGGACUGCCCGAUAGAGGGGUAUAACUACUGGAAACGGUGGCUAAUACCGCAUACUGUCGGAUAACCCAUAUGGGAUUAGAUAGUGGUUAAGGUAAUGGCUUACCUAGGCGACGAUGCCUAGCUGGUCUGAGAGGUUGAUCAGCAACACUGGGACUGGGAAACGGCCAAGACUCCAACGGAGGCAGCAGAGGGGAAUAUGGAAAAAGGGGGGAAAGCCUGAUGCAGCAAUGCGGCGUGUAGGAAGAAGGGCGGAGGGUUGGAAAGUACUUUCAGACGGGAGGCGUUACCGAAAGAAGAAGCACCGGCUAACUCCGUGCCAGCCGCCGCGGUAAUAC
rnacentral:rRNA from 1 species